rnacentral:rRNA from 1 species
UACGUAGGGGGCAAGCGUUGUCCGGAAUCAUUGGGCGUAAAGAGCGUGUAGGCGGCCAGAAAAGUCCGCUGUGAAAACUCGAGGCUCAACUUCGAGCUGUCGGUGGAAACUUUCUGGCUAGAGUCCGGAAGAGGAGAAUGGAAUUCCUGGUGUAGCGGUGAAAUGCGCAGAUAGUCAGGAAGAACACCCGUGGCGAAGGCGGUUCUCUGGGACGGUACUGACGCUGAGACGCGAAAGCGUGGGGAGCGAACAGG